UACAGGGGGGGCAAGCGUUGUUCGGAAUUACUGGGCGUAAAGGGCGCGUAGGCGGCCUGCUAAGUCGAACGUGAAAUCCCUGGGCUCAACCCAGGAACUGCGUCCGAUACUGGUUGGCUUGGAUCCGGGAGAGGGAUGUGGAAUUCCAGGUGUAGCGGUGAAAUGCGUAGAUAUCUGGAGGAACACCGGUGGCGAAGGCGACAUCCUGGACCGGUAUUGACGCUGAGGCGCGAAAGCCAGGGGAGCAAACGGG
rnacentral:rRNA from 1 species